UGUUCCUAGACCAAAACGAGGAUCAGGCUGC
rnacentral:piRNA from 1 species